rnacentral:SRP_RNA from 1 species
UAACCAGGAUGGUUAAUUCGCGGAGAACCGGGCGAGGCCGUAACCGGAGCAGCUCAAACUCGCAACAGUGAUCAGCGUGCAGAUAGCCUGAUUGAAUCGGGCCCAGGGUCGCCGCCGAGG